CUACACGCGUCUGCUCCGUCACUAUGGCUGCAAGAGACGCGAGAUGGUAAAAGCUUGCUUUAAAACAAUUAGUAUAUCCAUAAUACAUCUUAUAUGUCGUUCUUUUGUCUAAUAACAGAAGCGGCGUAUGUCAUUUUCAUAUUUGGAGCCAUUUAGUUCAGUAUUUGCUCUGAAACGAAGAAGAUUGACAGGAGAACCCAUCAGCUGCUUUCAUUAUGAAACGACCUCUCUAGUUUAUAAAGUAAACAAGCGGCGCUCUUCCAAAAAAUCCCGAAAAUGUACCACAAAGAGAAAAGCAUUCAGAUAAAGAGCAGCGCGUCGGCGAUCUACAACAACCUGAGCGUCCUGCGCAUCGCGCCGCGUUGUCUCAACUGUUUCACGGUGGUCCAAACAGUUUCCAGCGGUGCGGGAAAAAUAUAUUUGUGUAGGGGUCUCAUCUGGCUCAGUGCUGGUGUUUGACGUUCCCAGUAAAGGCAGUAACAUCAUCCUGUCUGAGGUUUUGGAGGAACAUAAAGAGGCAAUCACAGACAUGGCCUCUGAGUGCUCAGGAGUGCAUUGCUGAUUUAGUUAGUGCUGAUGACUCUGGCCUCCUCUGUGUGUGGAAAUCAGGAGAAGAUUUUCAUCUGCUCAACAAGAUCCCUGGUUUUGAGUAUGUUGGGAAUUAACACUCACUCUACAAGAGACAAUGGGUUUCAUUCAUGAAACAAAUAUAUUAGUAUAUUCUGAAAGAUUUUUACAUAAAGUGGACCUUGAUUAUUAGUAUAAUCCCUACCUGUAAAUUACAAUGUGAUUUAUGUGUACAGAAUCCUGUAGGAUCAGUUGGACUCCCUUCUGAGGUGGGUCCAAUAUAUUAUAUGAAUGCAAAAUAGCAAAUGGCCAUAUUCCUAACAAAAGAUUGCAGACUAAUGCCCAAAAUAAUAGUGUUCCAUGAUAAACUCAAAAACCGACUAUGUCUCAUUUUUGUUUAGCAGUGAAAAUUAUUUUACACCUACCUUGAAUAACUAAUUUAUUGAUUUAGUGAUUAAGUUAUUUAAUUUAGUGAUUAUAUAUUAUUUUUGUAAGUUUUAUCAAAAUGCAGUGUCAUAAGUUUUCCUAAACCUUUUCAUUAAUCUGAAAAUUCACGUCAGACUGACUUUACAAACAAUUUACACAAAAACUCAUGUGCAUGUACUCAUCUGCUUGUGUUUCAUGACAUAGGCCCACUAUACUUAUGCCAGUUGAUCAUUAAUAUAAUAUGUAUAUACGUAUCUCUCAGCACGUGUUGUUCUUCAGUAAAUCUCUGGAACGGCACAGUCAUUGCUGGCUAUGGGACGGGACAGAUCCGUCUGUAUGAGGGGAUCACAGGUAUACUGCAUGCAGAAGUCAAUGCCCAGGCACGCUGGAUCUACUCACUGGACUUUGCCCCAUUCACUGGACUGGAGAGAGAAGAAUUAUGUGUACAGUCUGUAUGACGCACAGUUAAUGUAUGCAACUAUACAUAUGUACAUUUUAAGUAGUAAUUAAGAACACAAAUAGUCUUAAUUAAGAAGUUGUUGUAUUCAGAUUUAUUUUAUUAUAAAUGUUAUUAUUUAAUUAUGGUUUAUUUAUUUAUAAUGGUAAACUCUCUUAUAUCAAUAUUGUUUUCCUUUGUUCAAUGAAAAAGCUGAUCUCCGCAGCAAAAGACUCCUGGGUUAGAGUAUGGCUUGUGAGCUUGACUCCAGAGACGAAUAGUGUAGAGGUAAAUGCACUCACAGACAAAUACAGUACACUACCAAUCAAAAGUUUGUGGUCAGUCAGAUUAUUUUGAAAGAAUUUAAUUAUAUUACUCAGCAAGAUGCAUUAAGCCUAGUCAGGAAUACAGCAUGCACUUCUAGGACAUUCCCACUGGUCAUAUGAGGAUCACCUGCAGAAGGAAGGUCAUGUGUUGACAGUAUAUUGGUGAGUAUAUUGCUGUACAGUCAUGAUAGACAGGGCCAGGCUGGAGUGAAUGUUACCAUAAAAUCAACUUCUAACGUCUUAGGCAUUAAAAAGCCACACUUGAACCAGGUGACUGUGUUAAGUAUGGUAUGUCCACAUGAUUGGCAGUUGUGCUAAGUACAAAAUACUCUUUUGUGCUCUGAUAUUAAGGUAAAAUACAUAACAUUGGUUAAACGGAACAGAUCUCAAAAUGAAGAACUAAAAUGUUAGAAGUGGUUGUUCUUUUAAUGUUUUCUUCUCACAUAAUUUGUUUAGUAUUGUAUAGUGUUAGUAGUAUUGUAUUGUUUGUUUAAUAUUAAUGUAUUUACUGAACAAUUUCUUUUACCUCAUUGAACAAUUUUGGAUGUGCAAUUGAAUCAGAUGUCAUGUAAUCAUAUUUGUGUUUAGAAAACAAAACAUAUCAAAAUAGUUUGUAAAGUAUUUAUUCAUUAUAAAUACAAUGAAUAUUAAAUAUGGCAGAGGCUAUUUUUUCAAAGUGGAAUUAUGUUCUUUAUAUUUGUCUAGAAACAAAAGCAUUGUAUCUAGCUUGAUGUUAAAUCACAUAUUUUAUAUUUUUUGUUGUUGUCAUAGUUUUUGCUAUUUUCUGUUUGCUAUUUGCUAUUUUCUGUCACUGAAACAAUUUUCAGUGACAAUAAAAAAAAAUUAUUAAAGAAAAUAGUUUACUGUGACUUUUAUUGCAAUUAGAAAUGUGUACCAGUAGAUGGCAAUAGAUCUUAUAUCUUUAAUGGUUUUCUAAAACAUUUUGAAGAUUUGUAACUUUUGAGAUCAGAAUUAGCAUAUUUGAUUCAAUCAUAAGUGCAUUCAAGUGCAUUGAUUCAUAUAAAAACAUCCGUGAAACACAUCAUAGAACAUAUUAGAACAUGUCCAGCACUCAUUUCUAUUCAAAAUGUAAAAAAUAUCAAACAUAAAUUAAGGAUGUCUAAAUUGCCUAAAAUGAUGAGGCUUUGUUUUCCAACUGACGUGCGCUCUACAGUCCUCAUGCAUUAUAUGUACAUGUAUUUGCAUUGUUUUGACAGUUGUUAGAUCACACCUUCUUGCAUGCCACUAUUGGUCGAUUAUGUACAAUGUCUGAAUGUACCAGACGCUACAUUACCUUCAGCAUCUAUGAAAACCAGACAUUGAAAAAGAGGAUGUGUGGUCACCCUACCUGUGUUCAGUGGGUUUUAAUGGUCAUCAGGGUUAUCUCUGUGUAACCUUUGAGUAUGAAGUGAAAAUCAUUUAGAUCAUCUUCAUGGCAAAAUUUUCUUUCAAGAGCAAAUUUGUAAAUAAGCAGUAAUUUCGUCCAUGACCGUAGUAGUAUAUUCAACACUAUUAACAUUUUUCCCCUUUGUGCCUCUCUGUUAAGCUAUAAAAGAAGACUUUGGUUGACUUUGGUGUCCUUCAUGCACCUGCCAUGACGCCCUGAUGAGUCCUUGUCCUUGAUUUACACCCUGUUUUCACACUGUAACGUUUUGUUGUCAUUACAUCUUUCAUCUAUGCAGGUUUCUGUAUUUAUAGGUCAAAGCAGAACACCAGAGGAAUGCAGAUUAUCACAUCAACCUGUUUUAUCAGUAACCCACUUAAAUAUCUACAAUGCUCAUUUGACUGUUUUUCCCCAUAAUAUUUAUGUCCAUAAUUCAGUUGUUCCCUCAUAGUAUUAUCCACACAUGACCUCUCUUUCCAGCUUGUUGUUGAUAAAACCCCAUGGUCUCUUAUGUAAGACUUUUAACUUUGUCCUAUGGAGGACACUAUGUGUGCCCUAUAUCUGUUAUGAAGAGAGGGUGAAUAUCAAUGACACAGAGGGACAGACCUAAUGGGUAGAGAAUAGACUGCUGACCGUCAAAUUUGAUGGUGGACAGAAAGGGAGCGAGUCCAGAGAGCGUCAAUGAGACCUUCACUGGCUGUGGGUUUAAUGGAAUUAUGUAACACUGCCAUGCAGCACUGGAGCACAGCGAGAUGUGUUUAAGGUCAUUGUGUUUAGUGGGAUCUGUGGUAAUGAAAACUAUGGCUGGUCUACAGGCCAUGUAAAAUUCAAUAGUGCUCUCCAGACACAUCAGAUCUGUGGGUUCCGGGGAUGGGGCACGAUGCAGUUCCAAAGGACACAAGACGCUUAUUUUAUUACACUUAAGCAGGAGUUAAAAACAAUAGUUAUUUUCUGUGCUUUCUUUGCAUGUCAUGUGAUGUUUCUUCUACUAUGGCCACUUUUAUUUCCAAGGAAUUAAUUUUUUUAUUAUAAAAUAUCAGUCUCUCUCUUUUUGUUGUAAGAAGGUUACAUUAAAUCUGGCUUGGAAACGUUUUCUAGCAUUUCAAAUUUAAAUUUUUUUUUUUUUUUUUUUGUACCCUUCACUUACCCAGAAAAAUCAGUAAGAGAUGUUGCUGUGCAUCAUUUUCCAGUCAAGAGCAAUAGCCAAACCCAGCGACCUGGCUUUGAUGUUCAGCAAACAAAAAGCUGCCCAACGCAUCCCAUUAAUGUGAAUGAUUAAUUUGGAGAUGUCUGGAUGGAACACGCAGCACUCGCUCCCCCUCUCAAGACUUUCCAAAAUCUAUCUGCCUUAGCGUUGAGCCUGCUGGGAAAGCUUCGCCACACAGGGAUUGACAAAGUAAUUCCUCACCAGUCUGGAGUUGAGGAAAAAACAGACGCAAGGAGGAAAUUAGGGAAAAGUGUCUGCUGAAAAUAGUUCAUAUAAAUAGACUGGAAUCAGCAGGAGGGGGAAGUGGGAUCAGACACACAGACAAAUGCUGGACGAGAGAGAUUGGCUGGAGACAAGGAGGGAUAGAAAGAGGAGUGAGAAAGAGGUUGACACCAUGCUGAUGAUUCAUCUGGUCAUCUCCAGAGUGAGACGUGUGUGCACUCCACCCGCUCCAACAGCUGCUCCCGAGCCCCGUCUCCUCUGCUGUGUCCUGCGAGAACAGGAAAUGAAGAGUGAGCUGUUUUAAACAUUGGUCUGUCCUACUCUUACCCAUGGGGCACUGCAACAAAACAAAACCUUUACAUUUUUCUCUUUAUUUUGUUCUAAUGUUGUUACAAACAAGACAUGAAAACAAGACAAGAAAUAACUGAAAAUCUGAAAAAGAUAACUAUGUUGUGACAUGAACUCUCAAGUCAGUUUCACUAUAAUCUCAUGAAUUUGUCAUUGUCAGAUCACUGGAAAGGCAAAUAUAGAAAAUUGACCAAAAAUAACCAAAAUAAUAAAAUAACCCUUCAUUUUGCCUUCUAUUAUAAUUAAAUAGAUAUAGUGAGAGACCAUUCAUGAGAAUAUUCCACAUUUCCUCAGUCCCCUCUUUCUACUGUGGCUAAUAUUAAUUGGCUGGCUCAAGAAACAUCCAGUGUUAUACUGUUCUACCCUGUAGCCCAAGACCGGUUGCCCACUGAAGCUAAGCAGGGCUGAGCCUGCUCAGUACCUGGAUGGGAGACCUCCUGGGAAAACUAGGUUGCUGCUGGAUGAGGUGCUAGUGAGCCCAGCUGGGGGUGCUCACCCUGUGGUCUGAGUGGGCCCUAGCGCCCCAGUAUAGUGAUGGGGACACUGUACUGUCAACAAGCACUGUCCUUCAGAUGAGACGUUAAAUCGAGGUCCUGACUCUCU